GGGUACUCCUAGCCUGCGCCUUUAAGAAGGGUAGGCCUCGACUUUGACGUCUCUGCCUUCCCCGCCCUUCAGGCCCCCACUGGUCGCGUCCGGCGCUGGAGGAGCCCAGUCAGCCGGCGCCUGCCGGGUUAGCACGUGGACUCCGAGGGGCCAACUAUCAGCUUUCCCUGACAAAAUGCCUUUGAGCUCCCCCACAGCUCUGAAACUCCAGCUUGGGAGCAGGGAGAGUGCAAUCUGUGACCUGUAAAGGGGCGCUGGGCAAAAGGGCCCGAGAGAAGGCGUCCUUUCCAUUCCCUUCCCAUCUCAAGCUGAGUUCAGAAAUGACACGAAAUAAUUUAAUCAACUAUCAGUCAAGGUCGGGCUCACGCCUGUAAUCCCAGCAGUUUGGGAGGCCGAGGUGGGCGGAUCACCUGAGGACAGGAGUUCGAGACCAGCCUGACCAACAUGACGAAGCCCCGUCUCUACUAAAAAUACAAAAAUUAGCCAGCGGUGGUGGUGCGCACCUGUAGUCUCAGCUACUUGGGAGGCUGAGGCCAGAGAAUCGCUUGAGCCCGCGAGGUCGAGGCUGCAGUGAGCCGAGAUCACACCACUGCACUCCAACCUGGAUGACAGAGGGAGACUCU
rnacentral:lncRNA from 1 species